rnacentral:rRNA from 1 species
UACGAACCGUGCGAACGUUAUUCGGAAUCACUGGGCUUAAAGCGCGUGUAGGCGGGCCGGCACGUCCGUCGCUGAAAUCCCCCGGCUCAACCGGGGAAGGGGCGCGGAUACGACCGGCCUGGAGGGGGGUAGGGGGCGCUGGAACUCACGGUGGAGCGGUGAAAUGCGUUGAGAUCGUGAGGAACGCCCGCGGCGAAAGCGAGCGCCUGGACCCUUUCUGACGCUGAGACGCGAAAGCCAGGGGAGCGAACGGG